rnacentral:rRNA from 1 species
UACGUAGGUGGCGAGCGUUGUCCGGAUUUACUGGGUGUAAAGGGGGCGCAGACGGCGAUGCAAGCCAGGAGUGAAAGCCCGGGGCCCAACCCCGGGACUGCUCUUGGAACUGCGUGGCUGGAGUGCAGGAGGGGCAGGCGGAAUUCCUGGUGUAGCGGUGACAUGCGUAGAUAUCAGGAGGAACACCGGUGGCGAAGGCGGCCUGCUGGACUGCAACUGACGUUGAGGCCCGAAAGCGUGGGGAGCAAACAGG